GCUUCGGGGGCUAUGCCCUGACACCCACCCCCACAUCCUCACAGAUCUCAGACCUGAUCUGCCAGAGUACCAAGAACUCCCUGCUCUGGGAGUUCCUGAGCCUGGGCUAUGCGGUCAUGCUCUGCCCCUUUGUUGUCAUCCUGGCGGUCAUGAUCUUCCUCGCCAUGGUGCUCCUCUUUCUCAGCAACUAUGCCAAGGCUGAGCAGCAGGUGAACCAGCGGGUGAUGCUGCCUGCAUCUGUGGAAGUCUGUGGUGGUGCCACUGAGACAAUGAAGAACCCACACUCCCACCUAGUCUGGAAGGUGUCCUACAGCAUCCGGG